GACGAACGCUGGCGGCGUGCUUAACACAUGCAAGUCGAACGGAAAGGCCCUGCUUUUGUGGGGUGCUCGAGUUGCGAACGGGUGAGUAACACGUGAGUAACCUGCCCUUGACUUUGGGAUAACUUCAGGAAACUGGGGCUAAUACCGGAUAGGAGCUCCUGCUGCAUGGUGGGGGUUGGAAAGUUUCGGCGGUUGGGGAUGGACUCGCGGCUUAUCAGCUUGUUGGUUGGGUAGUGGCUUACCAAGGCUUUGACGGGUAGCCGGCCUGAGAGGGUGACCGGCCACAUUGGGACUGAGAUACGGCCCAGACUCCUACGGGAGGCAGCAGUGGGGAAUAGUGCACAAUGGGCGGAAGCCUGAUGCAGCAACGCCGCGUGCGGGAUGACGGCCUUCGGGUUGUAAACCGCUUUCGCCUGUGACGAAGCGUGAGUGACGGUAAUGGGUAAAGAAGCACCGGCUAACUACGUG
rnacentral:rRNA from 1 species